rnacentral:rRNA from 1 species
UACGAAGGGGGCUAGCGUUGUUCGGAUUUACUGGGCGUAAAGCGCACGUAGGCGGAUCGUUAAGUCGGGGGUGAAAUCCUGGAGCUCAACUCCAGAACUGCCUUCGAUACUGGCGAUCUCGAGUCCGGAAGAGGUGAGUGGAACUCCUAGUGUAGAGGUGGAAUUCGUAGAUAUUAGGAAGAACACCCGUGGCGAAAGCGGCUCUCUGGAACGGUACUGACGCUGAGACGCGAAAGCGUGGGGAGCGAACAGG